CUUAGCUCAGCUGGUAGAGCAAUGGACUGUUAAUCCAUGUGUCGCAGGUUCAAAACCUGCAG
rnacentral:tRNA from 1 species